rnacentral:lncRNA from 1 species
CCUCUCUGUCUCAGGAGCUCUUCCUCCUGCUUUGCUGUUCCUAGGACUGGCACAUCCAUCCACCGUUAACUAGAGCUCCAUAUAGUUCUCCAUGUAGGGCCGACUGCAGUCAGUGAGUACCUGUUUUGCUUUCCAGGAGGGGGCGUGUUGAGUUUGGGAGCGGGAGGCAGCAGGCUGGCCAGGGGCUGUGGCCGGAAGAGCCUGAGUCUGGGGCCCACAGCAGGCCAGGCACAACUCUGCCACUCCCCAGGGAAGGAGAUGACUUUUAUCAUCAGUACAUGUCACAAGAAAACAUUUAAAAUGACACUGAAACAAUCAUUGAAAUCAUGGUGCAUGGAGGAAAAAGCCACUUCUCGACAUGGUCUGCACAUACAGUAGAUACAUUCAUUAUUGUCCAAGGGAAGACAGUAACUGCCUUUCAUUUUAAAGAGCUUGGUGGAGAGGCUGAAGAAAUGUGCUGCAGCUGAAGGUGAGUAGAAUGUUCCAGAGAACACAAAAGUCUAGAUGGUCUUCAGAAACAGCACUGAGCAUGAUGUGGGGAGGGUCUCUGGGAAGAGAGGUGGAGGUGGAGGAGGGUGCGGAGUCCAGAUCUGAAGCCACGGAGACUGAGGAUGGAGUUGGGUUGUCAGUGGUGAACGUGGGGGCAGGGAUCUCUCCGCCUGAGCAGUCCUGGGUUUGUCCUCAGCCUGGGAACGUUGCUCUUUCAGCAAGAGGCGAACCCUGGGCUUUGGAGACGGGGCUGGGGCUCUUUUCAGGCAUAGCAGCAGUGGGGAGACUGGGGACAGGCUUGCAAUGGAUUCCACGGGAGGGGCUUCUCUCCUGGUUCUGACUGCUUAUUAGGUGGUUAUUAAGGCAAUAAGGACUUAAGCAAACUAGAAGUUAAGGGCAGCUAAGUUCAGCCAGAUCAAAGGUAAACAAAAGGUGAGAAGGUGUCCCUUUCUCCUCAGCUACCUUUCCCCCAAGCACAGGAGGCCUCAGCUCCUGAAGCUCUGAAUUUACAGUACACAGUAGCAGACGGCUUGCCCUUUGGAAGGCUCCAUGGAAAGAAGGCUCAUCCCUGACUUGGGGCAACUUGACCGAAGUUUCUACUCUCCAGAAUCUCUUUUCUGUGGUCACCCGACUGGCAAGUGGAAGAUGGAAGCACCAAGGUUCCUGCAAAAGAUAGAUCAAGACCUUUGCUAUCAACCUUUCAGCCCAUCCCAAUGGCCUUGAAUGGCACGUGUCCUGGAAAACCAGGUCUGCUGCCUGUACGCCCGAGCGAAACCUAUGCUCAGCUGGAGAAGAGGACAGCCUUUCAGGGUUCAUGAAUGUUCUCCCUAGAACAGAUGGAAUGGCAGCUACAAUGCCCUUGGGAAUGUGAGGUCCUGGUGGAGUCUCUGGGGAAGUGAAAGAAGCUCCUUUAACUUGACUCCACUCACAGGACAAAGUGCAGGAGACAGAACAGAAUGGAUAGAAGAGGCUUCUCCUUUCUUCUUGCUCUAGAGUGAAGGAGAUGGACAGUUACCUUGAAAUGCUACGGGAAGGAUGAGCAUGGAGAGCUGCCUGUUAUUCUGAGCCAACUUCUGGCAAGAUGCUGGGUGAAUCGACUGCCUAGAAUUGAAGAACUGGCUCUCAAGCAGUUGCUGCUAAAGAAUGCCAGCAAACAAACCACACACAACUGUGGUAAGCCAGGCGGAAAUCCCUCCACCCUCUGGCAUGAGAUGGCAGUCUAGAAAGGACUCUCCAUGAGAUGCCUGGGGCCUGAGGAAGCAGAGGCAUGGACACACUGUUCUACGAUGACUCAGGGCCACCCAUGAGUGGGACAUUCGUGGGGAUGAGAUGGGAGCAGGGAGAAGCAGCAGUUGUAAUGGCCAGCCACGUGGGGACCAGUUCCGUGCCUGGCCUUUCUUUCUCUGGUGGAAGCCAUCUUGUUUUGAUCCUAAGAAAAAUGGGUGUCAUUUUAUCCAGGAAUCUAAGAAUUAUAAUAAUAAAUUAAUAAAGUGAAUGUGAUAAUCAAACUGUGAGGAUACGAACAACAUAAGAUUUAAUGAUCGUUGUCAAAACCAGUCCGUAGGGCUGUGGAACUUUAUCGUACAAUUCGACUUUGAUAUGUGUUUAAAUAUAUUUUCUAAGUUAUCCACAACCCAAAACAGGACCCCUUAGAGGUAAUCUAGAGGAAUCCCUCACGUUACAGACAGAGCCACUGGUUAAGGGUCUAGAGUCACACAGGGAGUUACUGCAGAAUCACUACUGGAACCCUGUGCUCUUUCUGCAGGGAUUCGGAUAUUUUGGUUGGAUUUGCAUUCUUACGUCAAUGUAUGUUCUCCAACUCUGCUCUUACAUAUUGAAAGGCAGGCAGCUAUUUUUAAACACCCUGCCUAUUAGCCUUCGGAACAUAAUAAUAAUGGCAAGCACCCUUUAUUGCUUCACCGAGCUGCAGACACCCUUCUAGGGUGUGAACAGAGCUCAGUAAAGAUAGCAGCCUCAGGUCUGUGUGUUGCUUUGAGCCACGAGCUGGUCUGCAGGCAGCAGCCAUGGGCCGUGCCUGUGUUGGUAUGUUUAAGAACAUUGGCGAAUACAGGAAUUACAUGGACUAGGUUUAGAAAACAAACAGUAACGUACAAAAAGGAAGGUUUGAUAUGGACUGCAAGGACAUAAAGCAGGUGCACAUGCGUGCACUACCAGAAUAGCUACACGGUGGGAAGGAAUUCCAGAACCACGUGAGAAAGAGUUGUUAGGACAAUGCAGUCGUGAAAUACCAUGUUUCCAACCCUAUCACUCUAUUUUAAAAUAGAUAAUAAUUAUAAUUUUUAUUAAUAUCAAACAAAUUAGCUUUGGGACCUAUGGCCCUAACUUAGGGGUCACGGCUGCAGUCCCCUUUCUUGCAGACCUGGCAGGCUGCGCAGAUAACUGCCCCCAGCGUUGGCCAACUCUGGACGCUCUCUUCUCCCAUAAAGACACCAGAGAGUGCUCUUCAGCCCCCGUGUUUCAAAGGGAGAACCCAAACCCACCCUAACUUCUGGCAAGACAAAUCACUUAUUAUAGCUGCUCACCUCUUCACAGAGUACCCACCUCCAGGAAAGGUCACUAAAGGUCCUGCCUGGGCCCCUGGCGUGGCACAGGGUCAUGGUCAGUCUUCUCUGGAGCCUGAGUCAGGGCCUGGUGGGGAAAGGCGGUGUCACUUAUAAGGGAGUGGGGAGGUGAGAGCUGGAAAGGGCUGGAAUGGCACCUUUUUAAAGGAAUAAAGCCCUUUAAAGAUCUUCAACUCAGGGACUUGGUCUCUUUGAGAAACAGCACCAUAAUCUAAUUGGAAUAAAAAAAGGAUCUAUUUAAUUAGAAAGAGACUGUUAGGAACUGGAAGCUGGGGAAAGGAGUAGGGACUCACUGGGCCCUUCUCAGGGAUAACAAAGAAUCAAGGGCCUCAGUAGCAAAUUACAGAGUUUAUUUUGAAAAUUCAAAUAAAACCACAAAAAUUCAAAUAAAAACACAUUCUAGACUAUAUCUUUGUAAGCUUUGGGGGACAAACCUCAAAGAGUCCUCCCAAAGGAAAACGCACCAGCUAAGCCAGGUGCCUCCAGGCUCGUAUAAAGGGGAAGGUGAGGUCAGGAGGCCAACAGCCAUUUUUUAGAAGAAUGACACCGCAAGACGUUCCUGGUCUACUAUUUCGCAUGAGGAAAACACGCUUUGGCUUCUGGUGGCUCAAUUGAGAUAAAAGCAGAGAGAGGUACAAUAAAAGGAAUUCAUAACAAACAUUAUGAACACCUGCUUGGAUUAAAAAGUUGACGGUUUCCUGAAACGGGCUCUGCUAAAAGGGACUUCCUGGAGAAAUCAGAUGCCUCUGGAAUGGAAGACGUCCAGGAAAGUUGGGAUGGCUGAACAACAGGUAGGGUCACUGGGUGGAUGGAUGGACCACUGAGAUUUUUUAGAAAAAAGCUGUUCUCACAGGAGAUUUAGUAAGGGCAGUUUAUAGGUUUAGAUUCUGCUGUUCCUUAUUUUCAUUGUUCUUCCUUACCCCUCAAAAAUAUAGGUUAAUGAGACAUUAGCUCAUUUCACAUCCUAAAUCCAAACCCUCUUCCCUUGGCUAACACGGGGCUGGGUUGGGAUGUUCACAUUGACCAUAAUCAUUGGGAAAAGAAACUUAGGGACUUCUAUCAAACAUGAGAGUUUGGGAAUGAUAUCUGAAUUUCACAAAUUAAAAGGAUUCUGAGCUGCUGGUUAUAAGUAAGGAGGGGGACAAAGGAGCAUCAGGAAGCAGGGUCUGAGGGGGUCUCUGCUCCUUUUGAGCUGGGUUUCUUUGGGUAAAUCACUUCAUCUCUCUCUGGGCUUCAGUUUCCUCAUCUGUACAGAGAGGAGAUGGGACUCCACAUGCUCUGAGACCUUCCUGACAUUUGUAGUCUAUGGUCCUGGAGAACUGAUAUCAGUCUGGAAAAGACAUGAGGUAGGGGCUGAAUUCUAGGAUCAUGAAGGGCUCUGCCAGCCUUUCAUCCAAAGAGGGCCAACCUUGUUCCUGGGGAAUGGUGAGUACAUUUUCUAGCAAGUUCCUUGGGACUCCUGACCAAUGUCAGCAUGUCCGCAAUGCCCCAUCUAGAUUCUGCCCUGAAAGAGCCAAACAGGAGAGCAGUAGUGUCUGCCACAUCUUUGUGGAAUCCUGCCCUUUUGCGGUCAACCUCAACUCAGGGAAAGUAAAAAGUGCAUUAGAACCUAAUGAAAAUUUCAAAAGAUCUUGAAAGAUGCCCACCAGCAGCAGACAGUGACAUGAUCAGUGCCCAUGGCCAGGCAUAUCACGGAGGUGUGCAGUGGCCACGAGAAACAAGAUGUUUGUAAAGCACUCUGAGCUCUUAACUGUGAAGAGUCAGAGAGGCAGAGGCACCACAGUCCUGGUUUCCACCUGGCUGGCCAUCAGGAUUAACGUUUCACUGCACAGCCAAUAAGCCCAAGACUUCAGAGGACUGGCUGUAUCUCCAGAUUUGCGGAGGGGGGAAUGGCUCACUGUGGAUAGGUACACUAUUCUGCCAAAAGGCAAAUGUCUGCCAAAACACAGACUCUGGAAAAAUCUGUCUAGGUGCUUCUAAUACCUUCUGUGUAUGCUGGUUCCUAGCAUUGGGAGUGGGGGAGAUGUGUCUCUCUGAGUCUGGGUUGGAAAAAUAUAGAAUGGCAAAGUCCUGUGUGCCCAGGGGAAAAAAAGAAGUCCAUGAUUCUGACUCCUUUAGGGAGAACAAACGAACCCUGUGCCAGAGAUUCACCUCUAUUUCCCAGAGAUAUUGCUUUCCAAAUCUGCCUUCUUUCAAAAGCUGUGCAGAAGUACCUGGCUGAAGAGAUGACUUGAGAUCCCAGCAAGAAGAAAAUCAGGGUAAUCUUGAACCAGAAUAGUUUGCGCCUUUUAAGACAUGCAUUUCCUCUGAGCAAGUCCAGAUGUCCAAGGGGGGAGAGGGGAUGCUGCGAGCACUGUCUCUAAACAUACAGCGAUCCAAUCUCUUAAGCAGUUGAAGAUCCACUUUUACUUUAAAUGCACUGAAGGCCCAAGAAAAUGUAGAUGCCUCUCUCACCUAACACUGCCCUUCCUAAUCUUACCUAGAGUGAAACUGAGGCACAAGGAAGGCCAGCCCAUUUUUCUGCAGCUCUCCUAUUGAAAUGGUGCCACUCCUGGGAGGAAAACCCAAGAUCUCUCUGAGUCCUUCAAUAUCUUUCAUUGCCUUUUUGCUUAAUUCACAUUUAAAGUCGGCCUGUCUAUCACUCUAUAAUAUAUUAUAUGCGCUAUUUGUAUAAAAUAUAAAUACUUCUUAUAUUUCUGCUUAAUUUCCUGUCUUUUAUCCUCCUUUAUAUAACUAGGUUAAAAAAAAAAAAAGAUGUUCCAUGACAAGGGAAAAACCACAGUACUGCUCAAAGGAAUAGGCCUCCGGAAGGAGAGAUGACAGCCCUUGUCCAUGGGCCCUGGGGGUGCUUCAGAUCUGGACUGUACAGCAAAUUAAAUGGAACACAUUUCAACAGAAAUCGGCAAUGGAGACAUUUGAGCCAGACGAAGUGAACUUCCACAACCUGGUUUUAAGGAACAGUAAAUACAAUAGAGAUAGAUAGAUACGCUAUGCUGAAUCUUGAGUACUAAAACAAGUUAUAAAUAGAAAUAUGCUAACUUAAAGAAGACAUACAUCAUAGGGAUUAGUCUAGUCAACAACCAAUUACCAUUAAGAUCAAAAAGUAAACCGGCCUUUUCACUGAGUGCCUCCACGACAUUUCUCAAUGCACUAAGUACAUUUUAACCAUGCAAAAAUACACAAACAUCUUAACUAGGUUGUUUUUUUGUUUUGUAAAAAAAAAAAUCAAACACCAACAUUAUGCAUUUUGUUAAUUAUAUUGGUUAAAGUAACAGCCAGUGGCUGCCAAAUAUCAGAUACAUCAUAUACAUAUUUUUGUACAGAAUCUGGACAACACAACAUUACACAUCAGAGAGAGAAAGAGAGAAAGAGAAAGAGAUUAUUUGUUCCUUCGUGGGUUUGUUGUUGUUGUUCAGUAAAAAAAAAUAAAGUAAAGUGUGAGAAGAAAUGCUAAGAAGGAAAACACUUCAACAAGUUAGGAAUACAUAGGGAGAAUUGCUAAUCUGAAAUACAGGAGGAAAAGAGUUCAUAUUUAGGUCUGUGUCUAGAAUUUUCUUCACUAAGAAACAAAAGAGUACAACAGGUGUAUUGGUUUGGAAAAGCAGAAAGAGCGAUAACAUCAUGCUCUCUGCUUCCCAGCAUGUUUCCAGCAAGAAGAAAAAAAUCAUAAGCACAAAUUAAUUUCACAAGUUUUGUUUUCAAAAAUGUCCUCCCUUACCCAGGAAGCUGGGUAAUGCAGGGGUGGGGGGCAGCUCAGUUGAGAGAGUCCUUGGCAAAGGUUUGGCCAAAAACUGUUGGCCUUAAAUUAGUUGGAGAUAUGAACUGUCUGUGGGAAUUCACGCAAUGAAACGCAACAACAGCUUGCUCCAUCUAGGCAAGAUUUCCUGUUGCCAGCUCAUGAUCUGGCCAAAGACACAACCCCCAUGACAGGUUCUGCUAGCCAGGCCCCAGUCCUGCCCCUUAAACAUCUGGCAUCAACACAAUCUUAGGAAUUCAAUCUGGAAAGAAAACGAGACCUUGAACACAAGCUAUGGAAGCGCUACCGUGGUCACGGUUAGAUACAAAAAUGUGAAAAUUCAGAUGUAAUCAAAAAUACAAAAUCAGUUUCAAUAAGAUUUGCUUUUUUUUUUAAACCAUUACAGUGCAAGGUUUUUCAAAUUACAGUAAAAGUUAUGUGUCUGCUUACAGUAACUAGAGUAAAUAGCUGAUUUUGUUCUGCUAGAAUCAGAGGUCCCUGAUAAGUGAGAAUGCACCAGUCUGAAAUCAACCCAGCACAACAAAUGGAUAUCUGAACAUAAACACGGUUCAUUGUAGUCUUUACCCCUUUAAAUUAUAGUAACAAAAGAAUGAUGUCCUUUGCACAACUCAUUAGCAUGAUGUUCUUCUUCCAUUAAAAACAAUCAUAGCAAAUAGAUGGUAUUAAAAUUUCAGAAGAAAAGGACUGGAAAACCGGGGCUGACCAGUGGAGGAUCUGAAGGGAGUUUCCCACAUCACUGAGCUUUUCCCAUUAUACUUAUUAUUAUUAUUUUUUCCUACCAUAAUCCUCUUUGGCAAUGUUGCUUUGUGCUUCAACACCAGUCACCCACACCAUCCCAGGCUGUUGCGAGAGGAAGAGGCAGCACCCCAUGGAAUGAAAGGAAAACAUAAUGGGGUCACCCCGAGGAAAGAAAAAUGGAAUAAAAUGAGAGCUGGGAGGCCAGGCUGGGGAGGAGCCUUCAGCUGAUAAACGAGGGACCCUUGUCAAGGCCAUUGUGCCUCAGAGUCUCACGGUCAGCAAGGGAAGAAAGGGAAAGUCAAGAACGCAAAAGGCCAUCUGGGAACAAGAGUUGCUGUUCACCGAGAGCCUCACCUUUGGGCAAGUGUCUGGCAGACAGCGAGAGGCUAAAGGAAGUAAUCAGGCAAUGGUCUUCACAUUCAUGCUAAAGGACAGGAGGAGAGGCAAGGGAGACUGAGGGAGAAUCCUCUUCUGAAAUUUGUAGCAAGAACUAGUCUGGGACAGGUUGAGAAAGGCAGGAUGCAUCAGAAUGCCUCCAGGAAUCCUGCAUGCCCAAGACGAGGGUGGAUGAUGGCCCUUUGGCACGGACCGCAAGCUAGAAGCCCACGGAAGCCACACAUCAUCCCUGUUGGUCUUUGGCCUUCCUCAUGUGGCCCCUCUCUAGCCUUAUCCUGGGGCCUAAACCCAAGAUAGCAGCUCUUUGAGCCAUUUGGAUUGGCCCCUUCUACCCCAGUCUAAGUCCCUCCUAAUUGCACAGGGCAACUCUUCCUAGGUUAAGUGAGUUGGAGAGGCAGUUUUAGACAGAAAGAGGCUGCUGUUGAGGCAGUAGGGGAGUGGGACUGGCCAGCCCUGUGUAGGGUGUGGGCAGCACUCUCUCUUGUCUCCCCUGGGAUGUAGCCUGUGGUUUGAUCCACCUACCUCCUACUAGUGACCUGCAUUCAGGUAAGAGAACCCUUUACUCACACCCGUGGCCCAAGAAAGGGAAGAAAUGCAAAUUCCUCUGCCACAUUAGGAAGUUUUUCUUACUUUGAAAUAGAGUGUGAGAUGUUAGUGUGAGCUCAGGAAGCACUCGAUCAUUUGGUUAAAAUCUGGCCAUAGCAGGAAAUUUGGACUUCCUCUAAACAUUUUGCCACACUCCUCAAUAAGGAAAAAAUGAUCCCCCUGACCCUACAGGCUCAGUGUCCACCAGCGUCCACACCAGUCUGGUUCCUACUCUCAUGGGUAGAAGUGGACAGCUGUGAUCAGUCCAGCACAUGGCCUCCUCCAGCACGCACAUUGGGGUUUGUUUUAGGAGUGACAGAAUCAGGCAGAACCAGUGCCCCUGUCCUUUGCUUUUUGCGUAAGGUGCUCACACUUAUUCAUUUCUUGGGCCAGAGGAGAUCCCACCUUACUUGCCUUCUGAAUCCCAUCUCUUACUAAGCUUUCCCAGACUUCAGUUUCCACCCAUGACCUAUCAUAGUAAAGCAAUUGUCCUGGAAACCUUCUCUGUACUCCUCACCCAGCCCUGACUCAAAACACAGCCACCACUUGGUCCUCUGCGAUUCAGAGGUGGUACCCUCUGCUCAUUGCUCUGAGCCCCCCUAAGGGAGUGGUUCUGCAAAGCCAACUAAGGAGCCGCUGACCAUGGGUCUUCCCUCAAAGGGAGGAUUUUUAAGAGGUGCAGGCUGCUUUGGCUGAAUGGCCUUAGCAAACACCAUGAUGUUCUUCUGACAUCAAUCCCCAGAACUCUGCUUUACUAGAUCAGCUCUUUCCAAAUGGUGUUUCUCUGGCCUGGCAGUUUGUAGAUGAAACCAUGUUUGAGGAUUUGUGAUCAUAGAUGUAUUUACAUAAGGAAGUGGACAGAAUAAAAUUAGGAAAUGAGAUGAUGUGUAGUGUGGCUUUAAGGGUAAAGAUAUGCUUAAAGAAUCCCGAAAAUGCCCCAGGACAAGGCUAUGAUGUCCUACUCUUGGUACCUAGGACCAUCUGGUUCUAUUUACCAUUUGUUGGGAGCCACCCUGGCUGAAAGAGAUUCCUAGGCAUGGUGGAGAACAGGCAUUGUCAGUCCAGGGCCUUGGUGGGGAGGUAGGUGGUCUGCUGCUCCUCCAACUCUCAAAAGAAGGGGCUUUGGACAUCACAGACAGCAGCAUGGGAUUCGAAAUUGGACCCUAACCCCUUUAUAGUAGUGUGACCUCAGGUGGGCUAACCUCUCUGAACUUUAGUGUUCUCUUUUGCAUGUUGGGUGUGACUUUAUUACUCACAGCGUUGUUGAGAAGAUCAAAUGAGAUACUGCAUGUGAAAGCGCCCCACAGGCGUUUAGGAACUGUGCUGGAAAACCUUAUUCACCUCUGAUAAAAGCAUCACAGCCUUCCCCGGACAACCUCAAAGUUCGAUACUUUUCCAUACCCAAAGCAUUUUCUUAGAGCGGCGGUCGUUUGCUAAGUGGCGUUCUAAGGACAGGAGAAUUUGCAGUGUUUUGCUUGGCUUUAUUUUGUUUGGUCAAUAAUCUCUGUAUAUCCCAUAUGGCUGAUUCUCAUCUCCUGACAAGCUAAUGCUCCGGUCUGCACCCCAGUACAUUUCAACUCCUUGACAUCAAUAACAAAAAGGGGAUUAGAGGAAGCAAUGUGGUUUUUGUUUUUGUUUUUAACCUUCAAGAUAUAUAUUGUGAGUAUAUUUAUUAGGGUGAGCAGUUGGCUUCAUCUUUUUAUUUAUUUUUUUUUUUUUGAAAUGGAGUCUCGCUCUAUCGCCCAGGCUGGAGUGCAGUGGCACAAUCUCAGCUCACUCCAACCUCUGCCUCCUGGGUUCAAGUGAUUCUCCUGCCUCAGCCCCCUGAGUAGCCGGGAUUACAGGCGUGCACCACCACACCCAGCUAAUUUUUGUAUUGGCUUCAUCUUUUAAUGCAAGAUAAAAGUAGAGUUGAAUUGAUUUAGAUGCUUGCCUUCUAUGUAAGGAGGAUCUCCUUGGGUUCUUAUGCUCAUAAACAUUAGCAUGGAUUUAAGGAGAAGCUAAAUUUUCUUGCCAUUUGUUGGAUGAGUGGGUAUUGAUAACAGAACUUUCGGAUGGGAAGAAACUUUAAGGAGUGUCACCAUUUUGCAGAAGAUGAAACUGUGCUUGGGCACGUGGGGUGUGUUAGUGGCAAAUCCAGGACUCCAGCUGCUGCAAUGGAAUGUAGAAACGGGUGACCCUGCUUGGAGGGGAGGUAGGGCUGGAUGACAGUUCUCUGUGGUCCUGGGAUGCAACAGCAUAGCUUCCUAACUCUCGAAUUUCUGCUGACAGACGUCAUUUUCAACUUGCUCUCACCCAGCCAUGCUUAGAGAAAUCACUAGAUAAACGCCUAGUGGACUUUCAGUGGUCCAGUUUGCCAAACUGAACUAGGAAAUUGAGGAAGAAACAAUAGCUACGUCUUGAAGGUUAAAAAAUAAACAACACUAUUUCUCAUCACCGCUAAUUAGUAGGGACUUUUAAAAAAAGGCACUCACCAUUGACCUAAUCUGUAGUGUUAAAAAUGGAGAUAAAUAUGUAAUAUUUUGGAAAUGGGUGCCUGGUAAGUGAAGGAUGCAAUGAAUGUGAUAUAUCAUGAUUCAGAAACCCUUGUGAUAAAUCACCUCAAGACAUAUCUCAGCAUUUGCCAUGAGGUUAGAGCAGUGACAAAGAAACAAUGAACGAUUCUUAAGUGGAAUUGAUCAGAAUUCAUUAUUGGCCUAAAGGGGCAAUGUGGUAUUAACCUGGAGCUUCUUAUUUCACAGGGAACCUUUCAAGGUUAGUCAACUGAUCCAAGGCCUGUGUUGACCGCUGUGUCAUGCUGUUGUGUCCCAUUUCUCUCUUGGCUCUUCCUAAGAGAAUAUCCUUUUCUCUUGUUCUCUGUAACCCAUGUGCCUAUUCAUAGUAUAUUGCUUAACCUAAACUCUAUAAGUCCAAAAGGCUCAGGAUGGAGGCAUGGGGUCUGUGGACAUGUAGAAACAAUGGCUAGGAAUGACAGCUAGAAAGGCAUAGGGAUGUUGAGUUUCAGGUCCUUCUUCUUUCCUUGGGGUGACGCAGUAAGGGGGCCCUUUCUUCAGUUUCCAGACCAAGGAUAACAUGAUUACGUUUUGCUUUCUUUCUAAAGCAAUCCGUCUCAAAAGUAGAGGAAUCUUUUCCUUACUCUCCCCUCCCCUUGUCUCUUCUUGCUGUGGUUAAGCCAUUUUUUCCUGUUUGAGAAGUACGCCUGGUGACUGAUUAAGAAGGAAGAUGAUUGCAGGAAGCAUCCUCUAAUGAUGGCUAUCAAAGGAGCCAAUAUAUUGGUGCACACUGGGAGUUACUUUUAGGCAAAGAAGGGGGCAUAUAUCUUAAUUGUUUCCUUAUAACCUUCCCUAAUGUCCUUAACGCAGGAUGUGCCAUUCAUGAGGAAGGCUCAACAGUCCUUAAUGCCCAUGUCAUCUCCUCUUUCUUUGAGCUUGGUGGUGCUAAGAUGCCUUCCUUUCCUUUGAACUUGAGAGAGCUUUAUCUGCAUUCAUUAAUUUCAUCUUACUUUUCAGCCCUGGAUGUACAGAGGUUAGCUCCCUACCAGACUGUGAAUCACUUAUGGACAGGGUCUAGUCACACGUCUGGGAUCUUUGCUAGAUGAAUAAUGAGUGCGUAAGUUAGAAGACUAAUGGACAGAAUGAAUUGACUGCGCGUGAGUCCAGGAAUCUCACUGAGACCUUAGUUCUCAAGGGAAGAAAUCUCUUCCGUUAACCUCAGGGAGGUGGCUGCCAGUUUUGACAGCUGACAUGGGGCAACACCGAGGUCUUUGCAAGCUUCCUGAAGCCAAGCUAGAGCCCAGUACUUCAGGUCAGUGGUGUUGGAGGCAGCAAUUUUAGCUAGAGGCAGAGAUUUGCUGUUCAGUUCCUUUUGAGCAGUUUGGGCUUCAAAAUAUAAUGAUGCCACCCAAUGCCCUGAUUUCUUCUCUACAACAUAGAGAGAUUCUGCCAAAAGAUCUUCCUGGGAAAGAUCAGAAGAACACCAAUUGGCUUUAAAAGUGGUUCUCACAGGAUCUAUUUUAUGUAUUAUUUUCAGCAAAAAUCUUUGGAAACAGAGGAAAAAAAGAUGUCUUUUCCAUAUGUCAGUCUCAGGCUGAUGCCUCAAGGGCCCCUGCUCUUGGGCCAUCUCAAGAUGGGUUGUUUAGACACAGGUCAAACCGGCCUUGGCUCCUGCAGGCUGAGAUAAAAUGUACCACACAGGGAGGUGGCCUCUCAAAGUUCAGUGAGGCAGCAGGAAGAAAAGAAAGGUAGAAUGUCCCAUCAGUCAAGCAAGGGAGUGUGUAGGCAGAGGUGUGGUGGAAAAUCCAGAAGACUUUCAGCCAAGACACUUGAUCCCACAUCGUGGUUUUAUUUCUUUUGAAUCAAGUUGAGCAAAUCAUUCAAGUGCCUAGGUCACAUUUUUCUCACAUGGAAAUUAAACUAAUGUGUUAUAUUUCUCUAGUUGAAAAAGGUCAUUACAAGGAAUAAGUAAAAUAAACUAAGAAAAUAUAUAGAAAAGCACUUAGCAAAUUGGCAUGAAGCAAGUGCUCAGUAAAUAUGAGUUAAAUCUGAGAUGAAUGAUGGUUUGGGCAACACACCCUUGAGCAGACAUCAUGGGUGUGGGGAAUAUGGGGUCCAGUGAGAGUCUGGGGUCACCGUCAGCCUGUGGUGCAUGGUGGUCAGGCUUGGUAGAGCCCCAGAUCGUGGGUGGUAAAGGGAAUGAUUAAAAUUUAAUAUCUUGAAGCUGGGAGUUAAAAAUGAUUUGUGUAAAAUAGAAGUCCAACUUUUCUGAAUGUAUGCUUGGCUGACAUGGUUUGUCUAUCAGCUCCAGGGAUGCAGGUGGUCACCAUCCCACCCAUUAUGAAAAGAUUCCAGGCCAUGGAUCAGCAACAGUAGAGUUAUUUUAUGGAAGUUAAAGAGAGA